rnacentral:rRNA from 11 species
CCGCCCGCGACUCGGCGAGAAGUCCAUUGAACCUUAUCAUUUAGAGGAAGGAGAAGUCGUAACAAGGUUUCCGUAGGUGAACCUGCGGAAGGAUCAUUG